rnacentral:lncRNA from 1 species
GUAGCACUUCGCCCCUCUUUUUAUUUAUUCUUUUAUUUUUUCUGAAAUUGAGUAAAAAAAUAAAAAAUAUUCGAGUUAGUUAGAAAUUAUGAACUAAUGAACUAGCCCUUUUAUUGGUUAUUGGAACACUAACACUUACUAAAAAGAGUUUCCCUUGGUCUAUGAACGGGAAGGAUGAAAGCGAGUCAAGUAGGCUAAUUCCUCAUCCGCAAAUCAGCCCUUCCCCUAGGUUCUUUUCUCAAAGAAUAAAGAAUGGUAGGAGGGAAAUCUUGAUAGAAUUUGAAAAAGCAAACGACAAGUCGAAGGCAAUAAAAUAUGAAAAAUAUAUUUUUCAUAUUUCUAAGCUAAGAUUAAACAAAAGGAUUUGCAAAUAAAAGUGCUAAUGCUACAACCAGUCCAUAAAUUGUUAAAGCUUCCAUAAAAGCUAGACUAAGCAAUAGCGUACCUCGUAUUUUGCCCUCUGCCUCAGGCUGUCUCGCGAUACCCUCUACAGCUUGACCCGCAGCAGUCCCUUGACCAACUCCAGGUCCAAUAGAAGCAAGCCCUACGGCCAAUCCAGCAGCAAUAACGGAAGCGGCAGAAAUCAGUGGAUUCAUGAUAAGUUCCUCGUACCAAAAAAAGAAAUGGUUAAUGAUACAAUCAACCAAUGAAUUAUGACUUAAUUAUUCCCUCACUAGGACUCAUCCAGUCGAAGUAACUAAGAACUUCGGAUUGAAGUAAUAAGAUUCUUGAAUCAUCAAAACAACUUCGAUAUAUCUUUUUUACUUUUUAGCCACAGAGUCUUUGUGAACCCAUACGACUUUCAUUCUUCCAUUUCUUGUUCUUGGUUCGAACUGUUAGUUGAAUUAUUUCUUGAUUUCAUCCGUUUAGUCAUUCAAUUCACAGUCACAAGGGGCCGGAAGGACUUCUAGUCUAUUAGAAUCCCCUAGAAAAAUAUAUCUUUAUUAGUAGUUCAUUUCAUAUAUAACUAGCACUAGGCAAUAUCUAAUAUCACAUAUACAUGUCUUUCUUCCAUAACGUAAACCAAGCAUUCAUCUUAGAUUUAAUCCUAUUCGAGAAUCAAGCGUCGAAACAUCUAGAAGGGUUCGCUUAUAGUUAUUCAAGUACAGAUACCUCCCGCCCCUUUCUAAAAUACUAAAAAAAACUUUUGAAAAAUUCUUUUGAAUCUUACCUUUUCUUAUUAUUCCACCUAGAGAAAUCUAAAUGGACAAAUUGAUUAGGACGACAAAUUCCAUAGGUAUAGAAAUAUCAUUAUUUGAUUGAUCUAAGUUCAUGCACUUUAUUAAUAAAACUGAAUAAAAAAAUUAUUCAUUUUUAUUAUUUAUUUAUUAUUAAUAUUUUGGUGAAUCGUUGAAUAAAAUCAACUGAAAGGGAAAUCAUUUCGCCCUUUUUUUUUAUUUAAUUACACGUCGUAAACCUAUACAACAAGAAUUAUUGACAAAAAUUCUUAUAUUCAAAUUGUUUUAACAAUGAAUUAAUAAUGAGAUGGACUAAGCAAUCUAAAGUGAAUAUUCAUUGAGACGAAGUAUGAUAUUAAGUGAAGGAAAGGGGAAUUUUAGGAAAAAGAUCUAAAAACAAAGAUCUUUUUCCCCUUACUCUUUAAUAUCAUCGUAAUGUUUUUGCUAUCACUCUAGAUCGUAUAUAGCAUAGUUGUAUAUUUAGAUUCCCCUAUUCUAUUCCGUAAGUUAAGUAAUUCUCUUAAGCCACCCACCAUAUACAUUUAUACAUUGCUGUGGGCUAAGCUAAAAAAGACUAUUUCAAUGAUGGCCCUCCAUGGAUUCACCUAUAUAAGCCGCGGCUAAAGUUGCAAAAAUAAGAGCUUGAAUACCACUUGUAAAUAAUCCAAGGAGCAUGACAGGUAUAGGAACUACUAAGGGUACUAAAGAAACAAGAACAACAACUACUAAUUCAUCAGCUAAGAUAUUCCCGAAAAGUCGAAAACUAAGUGAUAAAGGUUUUGUGAAAUCUUCUAAGAUGUUAAUGGGUAAAAGUAUUGGGGUUGGUUGAAUAUAUUUUCCGAAAUAACCUAAUCCCCUUUUUGUAAGACCCGCAUAGAAAUAUGCCACGGAUGUGAGUAAAGCCAAAGCAACAGUAGUAUUUAUAUCAUUCGUGGGUGCGGCUAACUCCCCAUGAGGUAAUUGUAUGAUUUUCCAAGGUAAAAGAGCUCCUGACCAAUUAGAAACAAAAAUAAAUAAAAACAUAGUGCCAAUAAAAGGAACCCAGGGCCCAUAUUCUUCUCCAAUUUGAGUUUUACUAACAUCUCGAAUGAAUUCAAGAACAUAUUCGAAGAAAUUCUGACCCCCGGUCGGAAUGGUUUGUGGGUUCCGAACAGCUAUAGUGGCUGAACCUAAUAAGAUAGCAAUUACAACCCACGAAGUAAUAAGUACUUGGCCAUGUACUUGGAAACCUCCUAUUUGCCAAUAGAAAUGUUGGCCUACUUCCACACCGGAUAUAUCGUAUAACCCCUUUAGAGUAUUGAUGGAACAUGAUAGAACAUUCAUAUUGCCUUGCCCUCUGAAAAAAUCGAACUUUAAACAAAAUUUUUUGAUUCAACCAUCUCUUUGUCUACUUGAAUCGGAUAUUUUGAAUACCAACUAAGAUUUAGAAUACUAAUAAAUCACAUAAUAUCCCCAGUUAUUUUGAUCUAUUUUUGGAAAUUCAGAAAUAGUAAGCGAUUCCAUAAGGGAUUUCUAGGGAUUUCUGAAGUAAGUUAUUUAUCUUAUUAUGUUAUUAUUAAUCAAGGAUUUCUUAUAUAGCUAGAACGACCCUCACAAAUUGCGAAUACUAAUUUGUUAAGAAUUAAUCGGAUUGAGGAUAUGGCGUCAUCAUUCGCUGGAAUUGAAAUAUCUGCGAGAUCGGGGUCACAAUUUGUAUCGGUUAAACAAAUUGUUGGAAUUCCUAAAGUAAUACACUCUCGCAGGGCCGUAUAUUCUUCGUGCUGAUCAACGAUGAUUACAAUAUCGGGUACCCCUGUCAUAUAUUUAAUACCGCCCAGAUAUGUUUGCAAGCGAGAUAAUUGUCUUUUCAACAUAGCUGCAUCUCUUUUCGGGAGACGGUUGAGUCUCCCUGUUUUUUGUUCCAUUCUCAAGUCCCUGAACUUAUGAAGUCUUGUUUCUGUAGUGGACCAAUUCGUUAACAUACCGCCAAGCCAUUUUUUAUUAACAUAAUGACACCGGGCCCUUAUUGCAGCCCACUCUACUGAAUCAGCUGCUUUAUUUUUGGUACCAACAAUUAAGAAUUGUUUUCCCCUACUUGCUGCGUCAAAAACUAAAUCACAAGCUUCUGAUAAAAAACGAGCAGUUCUAGUAAGAUUUGUAAUAUGAAUACCCUUACGCUUUGCAGAGAUAUAAGGCGCCAUUUUAGGAUUCCAUUUCCUAGUACCAUGACCAAAAUGAACUCCUGCCUCCAUCAUCUCUUCCAAAUUUAUGUUCCAAUAUCUUCUUGUCAUUUCUCCCCACAACCUCCCCCCCUUUUUUUAUUCUUUUUCAAAAAAAAAAAGAGACGAGGAACCCUGAACUGAAAUAAAUAAUUGUUCCGAUGGAACCUUCUCUUCUACUGUAGAUUGGACGUAGAUACACGACCCAAACCAUUAUUCUUUUCUAUUCAUUAUUCUUUUUAUUACCAAAGCAAAUAACCAUACCAAAUGCAGAUAGCGAAAGAGACGAAUCCGUUGUUAGGAAUCAUUAAAUCCUAUAAAUGAUUGUUCGGGUAUGUCGUGGAAUUUUUUUGAAAGACAAGAAUCAAAUAAUUUUCUGUGGUGGAACAAAAUAUCUCUCAUCUCCCCCUCGAAUAGAUUUGUUUUUUUUGUUUCCAAAGGAAUGUUGUUAUGUUGUUUUGAAGGGUGCACUAAUCCCUUGAAUCCGGUACCAACGGGUAUCACCCCCCCCAAAACAACGUUCUCUUUCAGGCCUUUCAACCAAUCGAUACGACCCCGGAGAGCCGCUUUUGCUAAAACUCGAGCAGUUUCUUGAAAACUUGCUUCAGAUAUGAAACUUUGAGUAUUGAGAGAUGCUCUUGUUAUUCCCAAUAAGACGACUCGGUAACAGAUCGCUUCUUCCAAAGCGCGCCCCAUUCGUUCUGCUCGCAACAAUCCAAUAAGUUCUCCGGGUGAAAAAACAUUAGACAUUCCAUCUUCUGAAAUCAACACUUUUGAUGUUAUUUGACGUACAAUAAUUUCUAUAUGCCUAUUAUGAAUCUGCACCCCCUGGGAGCGAUAAACCUGUUGGAUUUUAUUAACCAAAGAGAUUCGGCUUUGCGCUAUAGUUAGCUCAGCACCAAUCAAGAAUCCCCAAGGAAUUCCAAGAAUUCUUGGUAUACAUUUGUUCCAACCCUCAACCCUCUUUUCUAGAUUCAUGGAUAUUGAAUCAAUCGAACGCACUUCUAAGACCUGUUCUACUUUUGGAAGACCCUGUGUUAUAUCACCAGAUCUCGAUUUUUCAUAUAUAAAUGUAACUAAUGUAUCUCCUUCGUAAAGGGUUUCCCCAUAAUGGCCAUGAACAGUUGCUCCGGGGGUGGCCAAAUAAGGCUUAGCUGAUCGUAUCACUAUCGAGUCAACUUGAACAAGUAUAACUUGACCCGAUUUGAGGGGCGGUCCAUUUUUGGCUAUACAUACAUUUUCACAAAUAAACUGUCCAAGACUAAUUAUUUUAGAUGUCUCUGCACAAUAAUAGUGAUGGAGAAAAGACCAAUUCAAAUUGAAUGGAUUUAAAAUAAUGUUACGGCAUGGAUCGGGAUUAAAAAUUUUUCCAUUUUCAUCCAUUAAAUAAUAUUUUAAUUUAAUCACUUGAAAAGUCUGUUUUAAAUUGUCAAGUUGCAAAUAUUUAGUUACUAAGAUCUGAUUAUGAGUUAUUAAAUGGUAAGAUGAAUAAAAAUUCUCAAUUGGAAGGCAUGUUCCUAAAGGGCCCAAUGAAUUCCUAAUUGGAAUUAGGGGAUCUUUUUUAAUUGAUUCUUUUAUCACACUGUGAUAUUUUACAUCUUUGAAUGGCUCCAUUCGAGAACAAUUGGCUGCUGACAAAAUUAUCAACGACUGACAUUCCUUAUUUCUAUUCAACAACGUAUGAAUAGUUCCUUGAGGUUGGUUAAGAGAUUGUUGAAUUUUUGCCUUGGAAUAGGAAUAAAUAGCAGAAAAGGGAUUGAUAUUGGUACAAUCCGAUCCAUUAUCAGAGAGCAAUCCUGACCCCGACGGAUCAUUCCUUUUUCCGAUAUACGAAAUAGGGGAUUUCACUAAGUUGAUUUUUAGGAAAUGUCGAAUCAAACCAUUUGUCCUUAUUUCAACAAAAGAAGCACGGGCUUCUUCGCAAGAAGAACUUUUUUUGUCUUGGUUCCAAUUCAAUACUAAACAAGUCCGAACUAAUUGAAUACUUGUGUCAGAAAUUCCUCGAAUCGGUUUGCCAUUUCCAUAAAGGAUAUAAUUGACAAUUCGAAGUUGCACAUUAUCCCUUUCCUGCAAUGGAUCCGGUGGAAAAAGGGUUCCUAAAUUUAUACCGUCCGUUAUUUCAUAUGUGACGACAGGUCGAACUAAAACAAAAAACCUUUUCUUACUAGGUGUAAUUCGUUGGACAUAGAUCCAAUUUUGAACUUUUUUGUAUUCCUUGGAAUUUCUUUUUCCUGUUCCUGGUGGUAUCAAAACGCCGGUAUGCCUGGAUAUCUUAUCCGUCUCUCCAGGAAAAUGGAUAUCUCCAGAAAAGAUUUUCAGUUCAAUUCGUUUUUUUUUUCUCUCCACCCGGACCAACCCACCGACUCGGCUUCUUAGAUUUAAGGUGAUUUGUGUAUCGACCCCAACGAUACUAUUGUUCCGUACCAUUAGGGAAGAAGAUCCGGGCAAGAUAUGCACCUCUUCAGGAAUGAAAAAAAAUCGAUCUACUUUCAUUUGGUAUUUUGGCCUAAAUUCCUUGACUCCUCGAUACUCAAUCAAAUCCUCUUUUUUGAUGACUGAAUGCGUUUCUAUAGUCCCAUAUUUAAUAAUGCCCGAACUCUUUCUUCUGUAUCGAGGAUCAUCGAAAUAAGCAAGAAUACUAUUUCGACGGAAAAUACCAUUUACGGGGAUUUCAAUCGAGAUACCUGAACAGGGCAUUAGUUCAUUCUCGAGUUCUUGAAUCGAGUGUAGUGGAAUGAUGAAUUUAUUUCUUCGCCUUUUUGACAAUAAAGCAGAAUUCCCGUGAAGAAUAGGCGAAUAUACGAGAUUAUACUGGCCAGUACAUAUGAUUCGAUUAAGGUCUGAAUAAUCAGGAAUCCUAUCUUCUUUUUGACCAUAAAAAUCCGAACUAAACAAUUUCUGCCUCGCCUGAUCAUUGGUUACUGAGAGGUUAGAAGUAUAUCUUCGCUUGCCAGAAAGAGAAUGCGCAUUCAUUUGAUCCUGAUCCUUGUGGAUCGAAAGGUAGACUAGACUGGACCUGCACGGCCCUCCUAAUAAUAUCCAUAAAUGACUUGUUUUUGGUAAUAGAUGAACAUUACCAUAUGUAAAUUCGGGUGCAUGAUAGACAUCGGUACUCCAGUGCAUUUCUCCGUCUGAAUCAGAAUAAAUAUGUUUUCGAACCUUCUCUUUAAAAUUCAAAGUGGAUAUUCCUGCGCGAAUCUCAGCAAUUACUUGUUCUGAUUCUACGUAUUGAUCGUUUUGAACUAAAAGCAAACUUUUGGGUGGAAUAUUCACAUUAUGUAGAAUAUCUUCACUCUCAAUAGUUACAUACAAGUCUAUAGAACAUAGAAAGGCGGGAUGCCCAUGACGUGUACGUGUCGGAUGAACCAAGUCCUCAUUGAAUUUUAUUUUUCCAUUAGAUGGGGCUCGCACAUGUUCUGCAGUACCCCCCGUGAAUACUCCUCCGGUAUGAAAAGUUCGUAAUGUUAAUUGAGUACCCGGUUCUCCAAUCGAUUGACCUGCAAUAAUACCUACAGCUUCCCCCAAUUCAACCAGGUCGCCAUGAGUAGGACUACGCCCAUAACAUAAUCGACAAAUCCAAGAUGUACUCCUACAAGUAAAGGGAGUUCGAAUAGAGAUUGGUUGUGCCCGAAAGGUUAUGAAUCGAUUUACAAGUCCAAUGCCAAUGGCUUGGUUUCUAGUGGCAAUACAUCGUGAACCCAUGUAUAUAUCAUCUGCUAAUACACGGCCAAUUAAUGUUUGACUAAAAAUCCUUUCCGGCAUUAUCCCAUUCCGAGGACUCACAGAAAUACCCCGGGCGGUGCCACAAUCCGUUCGACGUACAACAAUGUGUUGAACUACUUCAACAAGUCUGCGAGUGAGAUAUCCAGCGUCUGAUGUUCGUACAGCAGUAUCCACAACUCCUUUACGGGCUCCGUAGCAAGAAAUGAUGUAUUCUGUUAAAGAGAGUCCUUCGCGUAAAUUGCUUUGAAUAGGUAAAUCAAUCAUUUGUCCUUGAGGAUCCGACAUUAAUCCUCUCAUACCUACUAAUUGAUGUACCUGAGAUGCAUUUCCUCGAGCUCCCGAGAAAGACAUUAUAUGAACUGGAUUAAAAGGGUCAGUCAUCCUAAAAUUCGGAUUCAUUU